CUCAUCCAGGCCCAACAGCUUUGAUCCUGCCGUGCCCCCCAUAAGAAGUGACCCCUAAGUGAAUGUCUCUGCCCACACUUCCCAGCUUGUGGUCCGGCCUGUGGACACAUCCAGGAAUAUAGGAGGAUUGUAUGCCCUGGCCUCCCUGUGAUGGGGUUGAACUACAUGACAUGUUCUCCGAAUUAAGUGUGAGCAUAGCAUUUAAUUGUUGAUGCAAGACCUUCCAGAACUCUUUUUCUCUUUGCCAUGGCAAUCAUCAGUGUUCCAGAGAGCAUAUGCACGAUCAGCCUUGGUAUUGGAGGGAAGAUGAUGCGGAACAGAGUCCC
rnacentral:lncRNA from 10 species